UUCCAGCCGGUGGCAAGGUGUUAACCUCAGAAGAUGAAUAUAAUCUGUUGUCUGACAGGCAUUUCCCAGACCCUCUUGAGUCUCACUCUGUUGCCCAGGCUGGAAUGCAGUGAUGUGAUCAUGGCUCACUGUAGCCUCGACCUCCUGGGCUCAAGUAAUCCUCCCACCUCAGACUCUCGAGUUGCUGGGACCACAGCUACAUGCCACUAUGCCCAGAAAAACAAAACAAGCAAAAAAACAAACAAAGAACUGCAGAGACAAUGGUCUCACUCUGUUACCCAAGUUGGUCUUCAACUCCUGAGCUCAAGUGACCCUCCUGCCUUGGCCUCCCAAAGUGCUGGGAUUAUAGGCAUAAGCCACCAUGCCUGGCCAAUAAGUGUAUUCUUUACAGAGUGUUCAGCUAAGUUGAUACAGAAAAAAAUGCCCCCGUGUUUUGUUAAAGUAAUUCACUUGUUUGGCAUUUUACUGGUUAGAAUCUCAUUUACUGCAUACAAUAAAAAACUCAAAGUUUUAUUAUCUCA
rnacentral:lncRNA from 10 species